rnacentral:rRNA from 1 species
UACGGAGGGUGCAAACGUUGCUCGGAAUCAUUGGGCGUAAAGCGCACGUAGGCGGCGCGUUAAGUCGGGUGUGAAAGCCCUGGGCUCAACCCAGGAAGUGCAUUCGAAACUGGCGCGCUUGAAUAUGGAAGAGGGUCGCGGAAUUCCCGGUGUAGAGGUGAAAUUCGUAGAUAUCGGGAGGAACACCAGUGGCGAAGGCGGCGACCUGGGCCAAUAUUGACGCUGAGGUGCGAAAGCGUGGGGAGCAAACAGGG